AGUGAACGCUGGCGGUAGGCCUAACACAUGCAAGUCGAACGGCAGCACAGUAAGAUCUUGCUCUUACGGGUGGCGAGUGGCGGACGGGUGAGGAAUACAUCGGAAUCUACUUUUUCGUGGGGGAUAACGUAGGGAAACUUACGCUAAUACCGCAUACGACCUACGGGUGAAAGCAUGGGAUCUUCGGACCUUGCGCGAUUGAAUGAGCCGAUGCCGGAUUAGCUAGUUGGCGGGUUAAAGGCCCACCAAGGCGACGAUCCGUAGCUGGUCUGAGAGGAUGAUCAGCCACACUGGAACUGAGACACGGUCCAGACUCCUACGGGAGGCAGCAGUGGGGAAUAUUGGACAAUGGGCGCAAGCCUGAUCCAGCCAUACCGCGUGGGUGAAGAAGGCCUUCGGGUUGUAAAGCCCUUUUGUUGGGAAAGAAAAGCAGCAGGUUAAUACCCCGCUGUUCUGACGGUACCCAAAGAAUAAGCACCGGCUAACUUCGUG
rnacentral:rRNA from 1 species